rnacentral:rRNA from 1 species
CCUACGGGGGGCAGCAGUGAGGAAUAUUGGUCAAUGGGCGCGAGCCUGAACCAGCCAAGUCGCGUGAGGGAAGACGGUCCUAUGGAUUGUAAACUUCUUUUAUAUGGGAAUAAAACGUUCCACGUGUGGGAUUUUGUAUGUACCAUAUGAAUAAGGAUCGGCUAACUCCGUGCCAGCAGCCGCGGUAAUACGGAGGAUCCGAGCGUUAUCCGGAUUUAUUGGGUUUAAAGGGAGCGUAGGUGGAUUGUUAAGUCAGUUGUGAAAGUUUGCGGCUCAACCGUAAAAUUGCAGUUGAAACUGGCAGUCUUGAGUACAGUAGAGGUGGGCGGAAUUCGUGGUGUAGCGGUGAAAUGCUUAGAUAUCACGAAGAACUCCGAUUGCGAAGGCAGCUCACUGGACUGCAACUGACACUGAGGCUCGAAAGUGUGGGUAUCAAACAGGAUUAGAUACCCUAGUAGUC